rnacentral:rRNA from 1 species
AUUGAACGCUGGCGGCAUGCCUUACACAUGCAAGUCGAACGGCAGCACGGGGGCAACCCUGGUGGCGAGUGGCGAACGGGUGAGUAAUACAUCGGAAUGUACCCAGUAGUGGGGGGAUAACUAGUCGAAAGAUUAGCUAAUACCGCAUACGCACUAUGGUGGAAAGCGGGGGGAUCGCAAGACCUCGCGCUAUUGGAGCAGCCGAUGUCCGAUUAGGUAGUUGGUGGGGUAAAGGCCUACCAAGCCUGCGAUCGGUAACUGGUCUGAGAGGACGACCAGUCACACUGGGACUGAGACACGGCCCAGACUCCUACGGGAGGCAGCAGUGGGGAAUUUUGGACAAUGGGGGAAACCCUGAUCCAGCAAUGCCGCGUGUGUGACGAAGGCCUUCGGGUUGUAAAGC